GAUGAACGCUGGCGGCGUGCCUAAUACAUGCAAGUCGAGCGAACAGACGAGGAGCUUGCUCCUCUGACGUUAGCGGCGGACGGGUGAGUAACACGUGGAUAACCUACCUAUAAGACUGGGAUAACUUCGGGAAACCGGAGCUAAUACCGGAUAACAUGUUGAACCGCAUGGUUCAACAGUGAAAGACGGUCUUGCUGUCACUUAUAGAUGGAUCCGCGCCGCAUUAGCUAGUUGGUAAGGUAACGGCUUACCAAGGCAACGAUGCGUAGCCGACCUGAGAGGGGGAGGGGGACAACCGGAAGGGGACCGGGGUCCAGCCCACAAGGGGAGGGGAGAGGGGGGAAGCUUACGAAAGGGGAGAAGGGCAAGCGGGACAACGCCGCGUGGGGGAAAGAGUUUCUGGGUUCGGAAAAUUUUUUUUUUAGGAAAGAAAAAAUGUUAAAGUAAUUGAGGCGGUUUGACGGGAACCAAAUAAGAAACCCCGGCUUAAUAAGUG
rnacentral:rRNA from 1 species